rfam:Methanobrevibacter cuticularis strain DSM 11139 MBCTT_contig000098, whole genome shotgun sequence.
GGGCUUGUGGCUUAGCCUGGAAGAGCGCAGGACUCCUAAUUCUGCCGUCGCGGGUUCGAAUCCCACCAAGUCCG